GAAUGGCCAAUCCGUAGAAAGUGGCUUUUAACCAGUGGGUCCCAGGUUCGAGCCCUGGUCGGAUCACCA
rnacentral:tRNA from 1 species